rnacentral:rRNA from 1 species
AUUGAACGCUGGCGGCAGGCCUAACACAUGCAAGUCGAACGGUAACAGGGAUCAGCUUGCUGAUUCGCUGACGAGUGGCGGACGGGUGAGUAAUGUCUGGGAAACUGCCUGAUGGAGGGGGAUAACUACUGGAAACGGUAGCUAAUACCGCAUAACGUCGCAAGACCAAAGAGGGGGACCUUCGGGCCUCUUGCCAUCGGAUGUGCCCAGAUGGGAUUAGCUAGUAGGUGGGGUAACGGCUCACCUAGGCGACGAUCCCUAGCUGGUCUGAGAGGAUGACCAGCCACACUGGAACUGAGACACGGUCCAGACUCCUACGGGGGGCAGCAGUGGGGAAUAUUGCACAAUGGGCGCAAGCCUGAUGCAGCCAUGCCGCGUGUAUGAAGAAGGCCUUCGGGUUGUAAAGUACUUUCAGCGGGGAGGAAGGGAGUAAAGUUAAUACCUUUGCUCAUUGACGUUACCCGCAGAAGAAGCACCGGCUAACUCCGUG